rnacentral:lncRNA from 1 species
AAGAGAGCUUCGUGCCCCUCGUGGAGAGCCGGGCUCAGACUGUUGGCUGGAAAGAGCUGAUUUUCAGUGUGGCUGGAUCUGGAAUUCUCUACAUUAACGAGUCCAGAGUGCAUAUGGCAGAAAGGAGAGAAAAGCAUCCUUCGUAGAAAGACCUUGUACAGGACAGAAAUCCCUGUUUGGGGUCACAGGAGGAUGCACCAUGCAAUCAUAGAAACAGAUUGGUGACUGAUCAUUGCAACCCAUGAGUGUAGCACUCACUUCCACUGAGAGCCACCAGAUGAUCUUUCCUGUGCUCCGGUCCAGGAAUUUGUCCCUCUUUGAGAACCAAAAGAAGUAUGUGUCAUCCUUGCAAUUUCCUGUGGACAUUUCUAUUUUCUCCCCAACAACACUUUUGUAGUCAUCACUAG